GACGAACGUUUGUAUUUUGAAGAGCGACUUGAUCCGCGAGCGAGGAUAUAAUUUCUGAAGAGAAUGUGGCUGCAUCACUCUUGUCUUCACCUGCACCGGCUGCAACACUUUCACCUUCGUUUGAUGCUCGCACGGGGGCACGCAGCAACGAGAACAAUAAGGAGAAUGUGGCUGCAACACGUUCACCUUCGUCUGAUACUCGCACGAGGGCACGCAGCAACGCGAGCGACAUUCAUCCAGUGAAUGUGGCUGCAACACGUUCACCUUCGUCUGAUACUCGCACGAGGGCACGCAGCAACGCAACUGGGAACAAAAAAGAGUACGU